UAUAGAGUUUAGAUGAAUUAUAAAAGUAUUAUCUUGGUUGCAAUUCGACUAGAUUCAGGGUGAAACAAUAGUUUUAUUAUCAACUACAGCCAUGUUUUCUCAAUGGGUAUUCUUUUGUUUCUGCAAGUUUAAUAAUGGAUUCCUUGGUGUUGAAGGCCUUUGCUGUCAAAGCCAUGCAAACCAGUUAAACCCAAUUAGACACCAUCCCUUGAAGCGAAUGUCUAAGGAACUGAAAAGCUCCCACAAGCAGUCGGAAAUGGAGAGAGCUUAUUUUCAGAAACCGCAACUGGAAGUGGAAAGAAUUGUGCAUUGGUAGCCUUCUUGUCUGAGGAUGCUCUGCAAGCUCCACAGUGACUGAGAAAAGAAAUAACAGUGAAGAAUGAGAGUCUCCCCUGGCCAAGGUGUGAGAGUUCAGAGGACUCUGAACAAGCUGGACAGUUAAUAGAGGAAAUUCUAAAGGCAAGAGAGCUGCAGAAGGAGUAGGACCCAAAAUCUGUGUAUAAAGUCUGCCUGAAUUCCUAACUGUCAAAAAGUCAAUGAUGCACAGGGAAAUAUCAGAAGGCCCAGUGGAAAAGCAGACGGAUACCACAGAGGAAUCUACUCUUGAAAGACAGAGCUUCAUCAGUCAUUUGUCAAUCAAAUCAGUUGGAUGGUCAGUUGGAAUAAUUGUUCAUCCUGCCUCUGAACUGUUCCUCAUUGGGAACUCAUCAGCUCCUGAGAGAGUCAGCCCAUCCCUCUUCAGUUCUUCAGAUGUGGAUAUUCCUGGUGGCUUAUGCUGAGUUUGUCUGUUUCUGGAACUGAUCAUAAGAAGAAGGGGAUGAUGCAGAAGGAGAGGAAGCAGCUGCAGCUGACUGUCUGUGGGAACUUCCCAACUACAUGACAACAGGGAGUCUGUCUGGGUUUCUUCUGAAUGAAACUACCAGUCGUAUGAAACAUUGUUUGGUACAUCUGGGACUACAAACUCUAAAAAGUAACAUUUGACUCACCCUACUAUAAAGAAACAUAGCUACUUGAUGAUUUCAUGACUUUUAUCACUCCACUGGUAAUUCUGAAUCCCAAAUUUAGCCUAGAGUUUCAAAUCUUUCUUUUCCCAAACACUUUUUACUAGUAUAUUGAGGAUAAGUACAUUUGGUUUUCUUUGGCCCUUGAUUCCAGCACAGGUGGUGAGAAGAAUAAAUUAACCAAGGAAUAGACA
rnacentral:lncRNA from 1 species